rnacentral:lncRNA from 10 species
AGGACGCCCAGGGCCCCGCCCAGCGUCCGAAGGGGAUGGAGAGGGGCCGGGGACCUGCUGGAUUGUUGCCCCAAUUCGCGGAUUCUGGUUUCUGAAGGCUACGCCGGAAUUCCUUCCCCGGGACUUGGGAACCACUUCUGCCUCCCUCCCUGGGGCGUGGAGGCUGAGGAAAAGGAGUUAAUGUGUUAAGAGCCAUUGACAUUUGAAGAUCAUCAGAAGUGAAGAUAAAACAUCUCAAAAAUUAUAAUUGCCUCCACUUCUCAUUCAGAGAAUUCAGUGCAUACAAAAUCAGCUUCUGUUGUAUCAUCAGAUUCCAUUUCAACUUCUGCCGACAACUUUUCUCCUGAUUUGAGGAUGAUAAUAACUUGUAGAGAUUAAGUAAUAUGUCCAAGAUCUCAUAGCUAAUAAAUUCUAUUGCCGGUGUUCCAGCCCAUGCAGUCCAGUUCGGGAGCUAAGUCACUUAAACACUGUGUGAUAGUUCCUACACAUCUCAUUAUAGUUUGUCCUGAGGGAGUCUAACAAGUUAGCAGAAAUGGAAGAACCACCCUUGCUUCCAGGAGAAAAUAUUAAAGACAUGGCCAAAGAUGUAACUUAUAUAUGUCCAUUCACUGGCGCUGUACGAGGAACUCUGACUGUCACGAAUUAUAGGUUAUAUUUCAAAAGCAUGGAACGGGAUCCCCCAUUUGUUUUAGAUGCUUCCCUUGGUGUGAUAAAUAGAGUAGAAAAAAUUGGUGGUGCUUCUAGUCGAGGUGAAAAUUCUUAUGGACUAGAAACUGUGUGUAAG